UAGGAAUAUUGGCCAAUGGCGAAAGCUUAUCCAGCCAUCCGCGUGCAGAAGACUGCCCUAUGGGUGUAACUGCUUUUAUACGGGAAGAAACCCAUCUACGUGUAGGUGGCUGACGGUACUGUAAGAAUAAGCAUCGGCCUAACUCCGUGCCAGCAGCCGCGGUAAUACGGAGGAUGCAAGCGUUAUCCGGAAUCAUUGGGUUUAAAGGGUCCGUAGGUGGAUUAGUAAGUCAGAGGUGAAAGCCUGCAGCUCAACUGUAGAACUGCCUUUGAUACUGCUAGUCUUGAAUUAUUGUGAAGUGGUUAGAAUAUGUAGUGUAGCGGUGAAAUGCAUAGAUAUUACAUAGAAUACCAAUUGCGAAGGCAGAUCACUAACAAUAUAUUGACACUGAUGGACGAAAGCGUGGGGAGCGAACGGGAUUAGAUACCCCGGUAGUCCACGCCGUAAACGAUGGUCACUAGCUGUUCGGAUUUCGGUCUGAGUGGCUAAGCGAAAGUGAUAAGUGACCCACCUGGGGAGUACGUUCGCAAGAAUGAAACUCAAAGGAAUUGACGGGGGCCCGCACAAGCGGUGGAGCAUGUGGUUUAAUUCGAUGAUACGCGAGGAACCUUACCAGGGCUUAAAUGUAGAUUGCAUUAGCUAGAGAUAGCUAUUUCUUCGGACUAUACUACAAGGUGCUGCAUGGUUGUCGUCAGCUCGUGCCGUGAGGUGU
rnacentral:rRNA from 1 species